UCUCCGUUGGUGAACCAGCGGAGGGAUCAUUACCGAGUUUACAACUCCCAAAACCCUGUGAUCAUACCUAUCUUUGCCUCGGCGGUGCGCGAUCCGGCGCGCCGCCAGAGUACCCCCAAACUCUUGUUUGAUACGGUAUCUUCUGAGUAAUACUUUUAAAUAAAUAAAAACUUUCAACAACGGAUCUCUUGGUUCUG
rnacentral:misc_RNA from 1 species